CCUACGGGUGGCAGCAGUGAGGAAUAUUGGUCAAUGGACGGGAGACUGAACCAGCCAAGCCGCGUGAGGGAUGAAGGUACAGAGUAUCGUAAACCUCUUUUGUCAGGGAACAAAGGCGGGGACGUGUCCCCGGCUGAGUGUACCUGAAGAACAAGCAUCGGCUAACUCCGUGCCAGCAGCCGCGGUAAUACGGAGGAUGCGAUCGUUAUCCGGAUUUAUUGGGUUUAAAGGGUGCGCAGGCGGUCUGUUAAGUCAGCGGUCAAAGCCCGGGGCUCAACCCCGGCCCGCCGUUGAAACUGGCAGUCUCGAGUUGGAGAGAAGUAUGCGGAAUGCGCGGUGUAGCGGUGAAAUGCAUAGAUAUCGCGCAGAACUCCGAUUGCGAAGGCAGCAUGCCGGAUCCACACUGACGCUGAGGCACGAAAGCGUGGGUAUCGAACAGGAUUAGAUACCCCAGUAGUC
rnacentral:rRNA from 1 species